GACGAACGCUGGCGGCGUGCUUAACACAUGCAAGUCGAGCGAUGAAGCUUCCUUCGGGAAGUGGAUUAGCGGCGGACGGGUGAGUAACACGUGGGUAACCUGCCCAUAAGAGGGGGAUAACAUCCGGAAACGGGUGCUAAUACCGCAUAGGUUUCUUGGUCGCAUGAUUGAGAAAGGAAAGACGGCCUUUGUGCUGUCGCUUAUGGAUGGACCCGCGGCGUAUUAGUUAGUUGGUGAGGUAACGGCUCACCAAGACGAUGAUACGUAGCCGACCUGAGAGGUAUCGGCCACAUUGGGACUGAGACACGGCCCAAAUCCUACGGGAGCAGCAGUA
rnacentral:rRNA from 1 species